rnacentral:rRNA from 1 species
UACGUAGGGGGCAAGCGUUGUCCGGAUUUAUUGGGCGUAAAGAGCGUGUAGGCGGCUAGGUAGGUCCGUUGUGAAAACUCGAGGCUCAACCUUGAGCUGUCGAUGGAAACCAUCUGGCUAGAGUCCGGAAGAGGAGAGUGGAAUUCCUGGUGUAGCGGUGAAAUGCGCAGAUAUCAGGAAGAACACCCGUGGCGAAGGCGGCUCUCUGGUACGUGACUGACGCUGAGACGCGAAAGCGUGGGGAGCGAACAGG